rnacentral:rRNA from 1 species
AGUGAACGCUGGCGGUAGGCCUAACACAUGCAAGUCGAACGGCAGCACAGUAAGAGCUUGCUCUUACGGGUGGCGAGUGGCGGACGGGUGAUGAAUACAUCGGAAUCUACUUUUUCUUGGGGGAUAACGCAGGGACACUUACGCUAAUACCGCAUACGACCUACGGGUGAAAGCAGGGGAUCUUCGGACCUUGCGCGAUUGAAUGAGCCGAUGUCGGAUUAGCUAGUUGGCGGGGUAAAGGCCCACCAAGGCGACGAUCCGUAGCUGGUCUGAGAGGAUGAUCAGCCACACUGGAACUGAGACACGGUCCAGACUCCUACGGGAGGCAGCAGUGGGGAAUAUUGGACAAUGGGCGCAAGCCUGAUCCAGCCAUACCGCGUGGGUGAAGAAGGCCUUCGGAUUGUAAAGCCCUUUUGUUGGGAAAGAAAAGCAGCAGGUUAAUACCCCGCUGUUCUGACGGUACCAAAAGAAUAAGCACCGGCUAACUUCGUG